GACGAACGCUGGCGGCGUGCUUAACACAUGCAAGUCGAGCGGUAAGGCCCGUUUCGGGGGUACACGAGCGGCGAACGGGUGAGUAACACGUGGGUGACCUGCCCUCAGCUCUGGGAUAAGCCUGGGAAACUGGGUCUAAUACUGGAUAUGACUCCACGGUGCAUGUCGUGGGGUGGAAAGCCUUGUGCGGCUGAGGAUGGGCCCGCGGCCUAUCAGCUUGUUGGUGGGGUGANGGCCUACCAAGGCGACGACGGGUAGCCGGCCUGAGAGGGCGACCGGCCACACUGGGACUGAGACACGGCCCAGACUCCUACGGGAGGCAGCAGUGGGGAAUCUUGCGCAAUGGGCGAAAGCCUGACGCAGCGACGCCGCGUGAGGGAUGACGGCCUGGUU
rnacentral:rRNA from 1 species